rnacentral:lncRNA from 1 species
GAUUAAAUAGAAAAAUCACCCAAUCCUUAGAGGAGAUGUCUGCACACAGAAUGUACAGAAAUAUGUCUGUCUUUGCCCAUGAUGGGAGAGGAAAGGCCAUUCUGUCUCUUGGUAGCAGAUGAAGAUUGGCUUUAGAGCUCAUCGGGAAGAACUAUGUCUUGACCAGCAUCCUUCAUCACUGAGGACACCAGUGUUCCUAUGUUGAUCAAAAUGUUUCUGUUUGGACAAACGGAGGCAGGAUGGCGCACUUCCGGGUUCUUCAUCACCA